UUGUUACACCAAGAUUUGGAUAUGUUGAUCUUGAUCAGUUGGUAGAAAAGUUUUUGAAACAAAACUGCCCCAAGAUCGUAAUCAGUUAAUAGGGAUCUCUUAACAUGUACAACUACGGAAGAUACAUUCGGUUGCAUCCAGUGUUCUUACUAAUAUUUCCACUGCACCAGUUGUAGUAAUAACAAAACCCAAUCGUGAUCCCUUGCAUUUAUGAGUAUCUCAAAACCCGCGCUUCAUUUGCCAUUGCCUGCAGUCUAUGAUUUUAAUAAAGUUAAUUGAUUGCUGUUUUUCCUUGCUAUAUACAUGAUAGAGACGCAUCAAUUGUCCUGCAGGACCUUUUCUUCAGAUCAGUGCCAAAUUGCCAACAAUGACAAUUGUCACCCUUGCGAAUCUUGGUCUCUGGUUCGGAAGUCCAUUCUAUACACUCUUUUCAACACAUGCCACGUAUUGCUUCACUGCUCGCACAAACGUGACGAAUCACAGGAUUGAAACUGAGACUUUGGAUGGCAACCUGCGUCGUGUCGAAGAAAGAAUCACGGAUGGUUCCCGGAAUGGCUUGAUGCCGACGGUUGAAGCAGAUAAGUGGGUUCAAAGGGCGGAGGAAGCCAUAUCCGAAGAAGCGGAAAACCGCAAGUCUUUUGGUGAGAGGUGCAUGAUUUUUGGGUGCUCCCUCAAUUGUUGGGGAAACUAUAAAACCAGCAAGCAAGCAGCUGAGAAGGUGGCUACUGUGAGAAACUAUAUCAGUAGCACACCUCUACCUGAUAAUGUCACACGCGUGCGACCUCCACCUCCUGUCGAAGAAUUGUCCACCCACAGUGUUCAAGUUCCGCCAAGCGGAGAGGAUACUCUUCGGGAUGCUCUCAGGUGCAUUAAGGGUGAUCUCGCUGUGGGAGUGAUUGGAAUAUGGGGUCCAGAUAGAGAUGAGAAAACACGUUUUCUCAAGAAGAUGAAUGAUUCAUUUCUUGGAGGCCUCUCCUUUGAUUUUUUUAUCUUUGUUACAGCCUCCUAUGACUGCACGGUACAAAAUAUUCAAGUUCAAAUCACAAACAGGCUCCGUAUAAACCAGCAUGAUGAUGUGGCAACUCAAGCUACCAGGAUAUCUGAACUGCUCAGGAAAAAAAGUUUUCUGCUGUUGGUGGAUGACCUUCGUGUGCAGCUAGACCUUCAAGCAGUUGGCAUUCCAUAUCCUCUUGGAGUUGUAAGAGUUUUUUUUUUUUUUGAGACCCGGAGUUGUAAGAGUUGUGUUAGCUGCGCAAGGUACUCGCCAGGUGCAGAGGAAAAAGGUACAGAGGAAAGUGGUAGUCACGUCAAUAUCACAAUCCAUAUGUGAUCUGAUGGGUGUGGAUAAAUAUAUACAAGUGCUUGGUUUGGAAGAAGAGGAGGCGUGCAAGCUAUUUGAACACAAUUUCGGUGAGGAGAAUCUUUAUGCCGAUCCCCACGUUGGGGUACUUGCUAAGGAUCUUGUAAGAGAACUAAUGGACCAGCCAUCAGAGCUGAUACAUUUUGGGAAGAUAAUGCGAAGAAACAGAGAUGCAAGGCAGUGGGAAGUUGCCAUUGAUGCUGUAAAGAGAUCAAACCUUCGAAAGGAUAACCCAUUAUGUAUGGAGGAAAGAAUUGUGGAGAAUCUUGAGGAUUUGACCAAAGACUUGGUUGCAAAGAGAAACGAUGUCCGUCAGAAAAUUGAGAAUGCCGAGCGAGAAGGCAAGACAUCAACACAUGAGGUGAACAGAUGGCUGGAAAAAGUGGCCAUCAUUAUCAAUGAUGUACAUGUAAUCUCUGUGGACUACAAGUUUAAGAAGGAUGUUACUAUGCUGGCACUUGAGAAGCUUCAUCAGGUUCAACAAUGUCUCAGUAGUUGUCCCAUUACUUUUGCUGUUGAGUCAAUGCCACCACCUGUACAAGAGGUACCUGCUCCAUCUAUGUCAGCCAAGAACCUUCAACUUCAAGAUGCUCUCCGGUACAUUAAGGAUGACCCCGCAGUAGGAAUGAUUGGAAUAUGGGGUCCAGGCGGAGUCGGGAAACACAUCUUCUAAAAAAUAUCAAUAACUCAUUUGGAGAGGGCAUGACCUUUAGUUUUGUUCUCUUUGUAACUGCCUCUAGAGGGUGCUCAGUUGAAAAGAUCCAAACACAAAUCAUUGAAAGGCUCGGACUGCAACGUACUGGACUGGAAUCUAAAAGUCUUACCAUACGUGAGUACAUGAAGGCGAAAAGCUUUCUUGUACUAUUGGAUGACCUAUGGGACCAAAUUAAUCUACAAGAUGUUGGCAUACCCUAUCCCCUUGGGAAUGUAAACAACCUCAACAGGAAAGUGGUGCUAACAACAAGAUUAAGAAAAGUUUGUGGCCAAAUGAAGGUCAUGGAAGAGUUAAAAGUGUCAUAUAUGCAGGAGCAUGAGGCAUGGCAGCUAUUUGAGGAAAAUAUUGGUGCUGAAACUCUUUCAAGUCCCCAUAUUGUAGCUCUUGCUAGAGAACUUAUGAAGGAACUAAAAGGCUUGCCAUUAGCUUUGACAACUAUUGGAACAUCAAUGUAUCAAAAAGAUACGGCUCAAUGGGAAACUGCCAUCCAAUAUAUGCAACAAUCAUGUUGCACCGAUGACAAAGACACACUAGAACUGGGUAUGGAAACUAAUGUUUUUAGGCAGCUGAAGUAUAGUUAUGACAAUUUAAGAAACAAUACCUUCAGAGAUUGUUUUUUGACUUGUGUAAUGUGGCCUGAGGAUGCCAAGAUUCUCAAAGUUGACCUUGCUCAAUGCUGGAUGGGCUUAUAGUGAACGAGCAGGACAUAGAAUCUUCCUUCAGAAAAUCAUAUAGUCUGAUAGCUGAACUUACAGCUGUAUGUUUGCUAGAGGGUUGGGGUGAUUGGUAUGGUUUCGUUACAGUGCAUGAUGUGAUUCGUGAUAUGGCUAUAUGGAUCUCUUGUGACUGUGGUGAGAACAAUGAAAAAUGGAGUGUCCCUGCACCAGUUGGCAAAGACAAAACAUUUAUCAUCCCUUGGAAAGCUGAGUGCAUCUCGUUGAUGUCUAACGAAGUGACCCAACUUGUUCCUAUCAAGUUUAAUCCUUAUCCCAUGAAAUUGAAGAUAUUGUGCCUUCGAAACAACAAUUUGGAUCAAAGCAUAAUUGCUUAGGCAAUUAAGAAUUGCACUUCACUGACAUAUUUGGAUUUGAGUAAUUUUUUUUCGAUAAAGGAUUGCACUUCACUGACAUAUUUGGAUUUGAGUAAUAACAGUCUCGGGAAGAUACCGGAAGAAUUAUGUUCAUUGGGAAAACUAGAGUACCUUGAUUUGUCAGAAAAUCUACUUCUAGGAGCAGAAGUGCCUCAAUGUUUUGGAAACCUCACCAGCCUCAAGUUCUUGUAUCUAACCUCUAAUGGCAUACGGACAAUACCAAUUGAGGUCAUGUCUAGCCUGAAAGCAAUGCAAGUAAUAGACUUGAGGACUAUGUGGGCACCUUAUGAGGAAGCUCCUGCGUACUUUAACCCUGGAGUACUAUUCCGAGAGUUGGGCACCCUACCUCAGUUGAAAGCGCUUGGUGCUGAGGCCCUAGGUUUUGCUGAGUUGGAGUCACUAAGGGAAGCGGCUAACCUCCCAGUUAGAUAUUUGAGUGUGAUGGAACUCGAUAGAAGUGCAUUAUUUCUCGGUGAUAUUCUAUCAAAUAACUUUGCACAAAGGACGUUGUAUGAACUGGAUAUCAGAUUCUGCUUCAGCCUGAAACAAAUAAUAGUAAGACAUGAUACGCAGCAAUCAAAUAGCCAUUUCGUUGCCCUCAACAAGCUCCGCAUGAUUGGUAUGCUACUAUUGAAGGAGAUAUCAUGGAUAGGAGCAACCCCAACCUCCAUAUUUCCAAGGCUCACUUUUUUGGACUUGUUUGACUGCCCCGCUCUACUGCACCUCUCUUGGGUGAUGUAUUUGCCUCGCCUUGAACAACUCCAUAUAGUUUACUGUCGCUCCAUGGUGCAAGCAUUUAUGAGGUGCCAUGGUGACAAAUUGUGCAAUCCACAAGAGAGGACAAAAACAUUUCCUUGCCUCAAGUUUCUCCGUCUUAUUGAUCACGGCUCAUUGGACACUAUUGGGGAUAACGGUAUGCAAUUCCCGUCCCUAGAGCGACUUGUGAUUUAUAACUGUCCAAAACUGAAGAGGCUUCCUUUCCAGUUGGACAGUUUGCCACUAAAGCUGAAGGAACUAUGGCUGGAUGAUGUUCAAUGCUGGGAGGGACUGGAAUGCGAAGAAGGCAUCAAAACUUUCCUACAGACAUCUCUUAAAUUUGGACCGAAUAUGGAUGAAAUGUAACUUUCAUGUUAGAUACGACUAGCAAUCCUUGUAGACAAUAUCCAAGGUCCCCAACAUUGUUUUGUACCUAUGUGCAGCUGUAAGCCUGUAACAUUAGCUUUCUGUAACGAAAAUGUAAA